UGACCCCAGGGAGGCGGGAUUACCCGCUGAAUUUAAGCAUA
rnacentral:rRNA from 1 species